UCCCACAAGGAUCCUGGUUACCCAGUGGCUGCCUUUUCCUGCCUCUCAACUGUGGGUGUUCUAAGAGCAAAAGGCCGAAGGUGACUGGAAGCAAAAGGAAAAAGAAAAUCCUCUUUUCUGUCCUCUGCUGCUUUCAUGAGAAUGUUGGACUUUAAAUCAAGGGAAGCUGAGGCCCAGAGAUGAAGGGAAUGUAUAAAUCAGAGGCAGAACAACAAGCAAGCGUCUUGCAGAGCAUGUGAGGAGCCACUGAUGGUUCUAGUGAGGAGGCUCACUGAGAAGCAAUAUGGGAUGGCCCCUCAACAGCAAAGAGCCAAGAAGGUUAGGUGUUUGAGGCUGAUGAUGAAAGGCCUUCCAGCUCCUGUGUGUCGGUCACAUAAUGACAGGAUGGCAAAACAGAGGAAAGACUUCAUACAUAUCGAGAAGUGGAGGAAGGAAGUGGGGAGUGACCUUGGCAAUCAAGCAGACUCUGGUUUGAACGUCAGCUCCACUAGUUCUUGACCAUGCUACCUGGACUUCUUAAGACUAACGCUCAUUUAUGAACUUGGCUGUUGUGAACAGCAUUUCCACUAAUGUCAACCAUGGACAUACCACUUUCAUGCUGCCUGUCAUAACUUUAUCCCAUCUUAAAUAGCUUAAUACAAGGGUAAGUUUUUAAAAAGUAGUCUAAGGGGACUCCUGGGUGGUUCAGUCAGU